rnacentral:rRNA from 1 species
UAGGGAAUCUUCGGCAAUGGACGGAAGUCUGACCGAGCAACGCCGCGUGAGUGAAGAAGGUUUUCGGAUCGUAAAGCUCUGUUGUUAGAGAAGAACGUUGGUAGGAUUGGAAAAUCUACCAAGUGACGGUAACUAACCAGAAAGGGACGGCUAACUACGUGCCAGCAGCCGCGGUAAUACGUAGGUCCCGAGCGUUGUCCGGAUUUAUUGGGCGUAAAGCGAGCGCAGGCGGUUCUUUAAGUCUGAAGUUAAAGGCAGUGGCUUAACCAUUGUACGCUUUGGAAACUGGAGGACUUGAGUGCAGAAGGGGAGAGUGGAAUUCCAUGUGUAGCGGUGAAAUGCGUAGAUAUAUGGAGGAACACCGGUGGCGAAAGCGGCUCUCUGGUCUGUAACUGACGCUGAGGCUCGAAAGCGUGGGGAGCAAACAGG